rfam:Schistosoma mattheei strain Denwood, Zambia genome assembly, scaffold: SMTD_contig0025551
GUCAGGAUGGCCGAGAGGUUCAAAGCGCUGCGUUCAAGUCGCAGUCCACCCUGUGGGCAUAGGUUCGAAUCCCAGUCUUGACA